GAUGAACGCUAGCGGCAGGCCUAAUACAUGCAAGUCGAACGAUACUCUUUAGCUUGCUAGAGAGAAAAGUGGCGCACGGGUGCGUAACGCGUAUGCAACCUACCUUAAUCAGGGGGAUAGCCCGAAGAAAUUCGGAUUAACACCGCAUAAAAUCACAGCACAGCAUUGUGUAAUGAUCAAAUAUUUAUAGGAUUAAGAUG
rnacentral:rRNA from 1 species